UACGAAGGGUGCUAGCGUUGUUCGGAAUCACUGGGCGUAAAGCGCGCGUAGGCGGCGACACAAGUCAGGGGUGAAAUCCCAGAGCUCAACUCUGGAACUGCCUUUGAAACUGUGUUGCUAGAGUACUGGAGGGGAGUGGGGAAUUCCUAAUGUAGAGGUGAAAUUCGUAGAUAUCAGGAGGAACACCGGUGGCGAAGGCGGGUCUCUGGGCCGAUACUGACGCUGAGGAGCGAAAGCGUGGGGAGCAAACAGG
rnacentral:rRNA from 1 species